rnacentral:rRNA from 1 species
GGUGGCGACCGGCGCACGGGUGCGUAACACGUAUACAAUCUACCUUAAACAGGGGGAUAGCCUUUCGAAAGAGAGAUUAAUACCCCGUAAUAAAUUGAAUGGCAUCAUUUGAUUUUGAAAGCUCCGGCGGUUUAAGAUGAGUAUGCGUCUGAUUAGCUAGUUGGUGAGGUAACGGCUCACCAAGGCGACGAUCAGUAGGGGAUCUGAGAGGACUAACCCCCACACUGGUACUGAGACACGGACCAGACUCCUACGGGAGGCAGCAGUAAGGAAUAUUGGUCAAUGGAGGCAACUCUGAACCAGCCAUGCCGCGUGCAGGAUGACGGCCCUAUGGGUUGUAAACUGCUUUUGUACCAGAGAAAACCCCAGUACGUGUACUGGGUUGAUAGUAUGGUAAGAAUAAGCAUCGGCUAACUUCGUGCCAGCAGCCGCGGUAAGACGAAGGAUGCAAGCGUUAUCCGGAUUCAUUGGGUUUAAAGGGUGCGUAGGCGGACUUGUAAGUCAGUGGUGAAAUCUCUCAGCUUAACUGAGAAACUGCCAUUGAUACUGCAGGUCUAGAGUAUAGAUGACGUUGGCGGAAUAUGACAUGUAGUGGUGAAAUACUUAGAUAUGUCAUAGAACACCGAUUGCGAAGGCAGCUAACGAAACUAUAACUGACGCUGAGGCACGAAAGUGCGGGGAUCAAACAGGAUUAGAUACCCUGGUAGUCCGCACCGUAAACGAUGAUUACUCGUUGUUGGCGAUAUGACAGUCAGCGACCAAGCGAA